rnacentral:lncRNA from 1 species
AGGAAUUCAAUGACCAAAAUUGUGGGGAGAGUGCCCCAUGGAACAGGGGUGCCUAAGUAUGUGGCUUGUCCUCCAGGAACUGCUGCCCACUCUUGCGCCUGCACCCAGUUGCCCAAUCCCAAUGCCUCUGGCACCAAGAUCCCUGGCUGCGUGGAAAUUUUUUAGUAAAUCAUUUUGAUGUUCAGCCACUUUGUUUUGCUUUUGAUACUUUAUACUCCGAAAUGAUAUUGACUCAACCCUUGAUAUCUAGCUUCCAGAACAAGAAACCACUUGUUCCCUUGGACUAAAUCCGGAACGGUAAAUUUCAUAUGAAUAUAAUAUCAAAAUCUUGGAAUAAUUCAAGGUUACAUAGCCUAUAAACUAAAACAUAUAUGAUUAAGACACAUUGAAAAUGUCAAUCAAGAAAUGGCACACGAACAAAAGAAUUUAGAACUUACAACAGCAAGCAUAGCCCAUCUGCAGUGAAUGAGUUCAGACUCCUUGUAUCUCUCAAGGUUCUCAGGAACUUCGCCAAGCCGAAGUGGGUCAAAUCCAAAGUCCCUGGAACAAAGAAACACAAGCACACAACAAAAACAUUAGCAACAAAAAUUUACGUGCUAUGGCAGCCAGCUAGUUCAACUGGUAAAAUAUUCUAAAUGCUUGCUUGCUU